AUACCGAGGUGGCAAGCGUUGUUCGGAAUUAUUGGGCGUAAAGAGCACGUAGGUGGAUUUGUUAGUCAGAUGUGAAAGCCUUUUGUUCAACGGAAGAAUUGCAUCUGAAACUACAAACCUUGAGUAUAGGAGGGGAGAGUGGAACUUCUGGUGGAGCGGUGAAAUGCGUAGAUAUCAGAAGGAACGCCGGCGGCGAAAGCGACUCUCUGGCCUAUAACUGACACUGAGUGUGCGAAAGCUAGGGGAGCAAACGGGAUUAGAUACCCGAGUAGUCC
rnacentral:rRNA from 1 species